GUGAAAGCCAAUUUUCUUCCUGUUAGAGCCGGAACAUUUAUUUUCUCCUGCCCUCAGACGUUGGUGCUCCUUGUUCUUGGACCUUCCAACUUGGACUGAAUUACACCGCUGGUUUUCCUGAUUCUCCAGGUUGCAGGUGGCAGGUUAUAGGACUUCUCGGCCUCUAUAAUCACGCUAUUUGGAAGAAUGCGAUUCAGGUACUUCCAGUCAGAUACAUCCGUGCAAGACUUGGAUAGAGAAGUAACAUAAGGAGGCAGCUGUGGGAAGACUGACCAUCUGGACAUCCAAGCUGCAUGAGGAGAGGCUCACGUAGGGGGAAACCGAGGUUUGCAGCAGCGACUCGCCAGGCGUGUGAGUGAGCCAACCUGGAAGCAGAUCCUCCAGUUCCAGUGAAGUGUGUGGAUGACAUCAGCUCCAGCCUUCAUUUUGACCACAACUCAUGAGAUGCCCUAAGCCAGAACCACCCUUGAAGCUGCUUUUAAAUUCCGAAAGUGGAAAUAAUAUAUUUUAUUGUUUUAAAUCACUACAUUUUGGGGUAGUGAUUUGUUUUGCAUGCCAUUUGUUAUGUUGCAAUGGAUAACCAAUACAUCUUGACUUUUGGAAACCAUGAGGAGGGAUCAAUGUUUUAAAAAGAUUCAUUGUCCUCAUUUAGGUAGUCACUAUUAUUAUUUCUUAAGGGAGUAUGCCUACCAGGACUAUAACAUUUCCAAGGAAGUGUUUAUGAAUACAGCACUGCCAUGGAUAUUUAAAAGCAAGCUUGUGGAUUCCACACCAGCUUUGAAAUAGAAUAUCUGGCACCUAGCAGUUAGCAUAAGAUAAAAGGAAUUAUUUCCCAAAUAAAGCCAUAUGUUAUUGCUAUCAUCAUCAUCAUCAUCACCAUCACUGCCAUUAAACAUCUAGGUGCAGAUAAUACCCAUAAUAGUGUCCCUUUGAAUGAGAGAAAUCAACAAAGGUCCCAAAAGGCAAUUGCACAGGUCCUUAUUUACUGAUUUUUCCUAAAUAAUCAAAUAGAUCUUUUACCUUAAAUGCAGAUAAUAUCAUAAUUCAUCAAACUAAUUUAUAAUGGUGAACUGCCGCUUAAAUAUUGUCUUAUAAAUGAUGCCUUUUGAAGUUAAAAGUGAUGUUGAUUCAAUCAAUUUUGAAAAAAUAUCUAGAACAUAUUAAACAAAUGAUAUUAGAAGUGAAAAAAACUGUCUUCUAUUAAGUCUUCUAAGAAAGACAAUUAUGAUAAGUUCCUGGUCAGAUAAAAACCAUUCCAUCAUUAAAGGAAAUAAAAAGAAGCAU
rnacentral:lncRNA from 10 species